ensembl:lncRNA
AAUUGCACAAGAAAAAUCACUCAAGUUCAAACAUCGUCCACGAUUUCACCUGGAUGUCUGAACAACAAUCAUGUUUUUCUCUCAUCAAGUUCUCUUUGUCUGUCCUUUGACAUGAAAAACACCACAAACACAUCACGAGUGUUACAUUUUAUUUGGUCUUAUGUCUUUUUGAGCUUUUUUUCCUUUGUUUUUCUCCACAGGUUAAAACCCAUUUUAAUAGUCAAGAGAAAUAAAAACAUUUUCACAUAACUGUAUACAGAAAUAAUCCUCUUGUGCACAAUAAAAACAGUUGAUUAGGCCCAGCCCAGUGCGAGAUUUCACAAAAAUGCAACAAGAAUGAAUUUUCAAAGCCCAAGGACUGCAAAACCUCUAACUCGCAGGAGCAGAGAGUUUUGAGAGAGAUGUAAAAAUGACUGCCAGGGCAAUGCAACAGUUGUGUUAUCACAUCGCCUAGGUUGUAAUAAAACACACAAUAGACAUGGAAAUGAAUCCAAUUACAAAAAUAGCAAAUAGAUACAAAGGCAGAGAGGUGGUUGAGCUUGUCUGCUACCUUAAGGUACUUACAAACAUUUCCUCUCCAUCUAGCAGUUUUAUGCACAUAAAAAUUCAGUAUGGGUGCCCCAAGGGGACAUUCGGCUGCAAUUUAAGUGUAAGAUUUUGCUGCAAUGUACAUAAGGAAAAGGAAAUCGAGCUCUAACAGGCACAUUUCUCAAGGCUUUUCAGUAACACAGACAAAGUACUAGGGCUUGCAGAAAAAUCAGUUUCGUGCAGAUUUGGCCAACUUGGUGAACGGGAACGUAACAUUGAUCUGUCUCAUGUGAAGCACCCAUACAUCUUAAAUACUCCAGUGAAAACCUAGAAAAUGCUUUGUUCAUAUGAAGCAAUCAAUCCAUCAUCCUAACGUGGACUGUGUCCCUGACCAUCUUGAGAAUGAAAUAGUUUUAAUCCAGUGUGUAAAAAGAUGGCCAUUUAUAAAUAUCCACAUUAACCCCCCUAUAUAAUUUUUUUAUAUAUAUAUAUAUAUAUAUAUAUAUAUAUAUAUAUAUAUAUAUAUAUAUAUAUAUAUAUAUAUAUAUAUAUAUAUAUAUAUAUAUAUAUAUAUAUAUAUAUAUAUAUAUAUAUAUAUAUAUAUCCAUAUCCUCAGCUGGCUGGCAGGAAACUGUCAGAAUGCAAAGUCUUUUUCACAGUACUGUGAAGCUGUGAGUGGGAGAGAUUUGACCACUGAGUCAUGGGGAUUUGUACCAUCCAAACCGUUUCAAAUUGCCUCUCUGGAUCGUUUAGAGUUCAGCCAUUUAAGCCCAACCAUGAGCACCUGAAAGAGACCACCUACUGUUAAAUACCCUCGAGCCUUAGUAAAAGACUUUACCGUCUUAUAUCUGUCUAAGGAGACGUUAAUCAGGUUAAGCCUCGCCAGUUUAGUCACCUAUAUAUCCGUUAAUAUUGAUUUUUUUAAAAAUGAAGACGUCUUUGUCACUAAACGUGUCAGUGCAUCCGUGAGCAAACAUCAGUUCACUGGAACCGACUCGACCCAUCAGUUGAUAUCACCUCUAGCUAGUGCUCAACUUUAACAUUCACGCUACUGCGCAUCUUGAAAUGAUUUAUGCUUAGCUGUCCUUAAUGAAUGCAUGAUGGGGAAAAGGUGACAUUUAUGGGGCUUUACCUGUAGGACUACCCCCAUGAAUCCAGAUAUACAGUAAGAGAUCACAUGACUAAGAAAGAUCCCAAAAAUAUCAGCAAAUGUUACAGAGAAGGCCAUAAAUCAAUUCACACUUUCUAUAUUUAAGAGGGGCUGUUUACUUAACCAACUCACAAGCAGCACAGAAGCAUAAUUUACAGGUUGCGCGGCUCCUGUCUGAGGAAGAUCACGAGGUAAUUGUGUGUCAAUAGCAAGACGGAACAACAAUCACAACCGCAGGGCUGUUGUUUGCUGUUGAGUAGAGGGAAGGCAUGAGUAUGUGGGCCUUGGACUUUAUAACCUCAUAGAUAAAGUCUGUGUUUACUUUCUGCACUGAGCGGCAGCUUUCUCCAGGAGCCAUCACUGAGGUCUUGAACGUGAACUGGUCUUUCUUUCAUUUCUCCUAUUCACUGGCUUUUUGUUGUUACUGAAAAAGGGACAGCAGAUGGUGACCUUGGAUGCACAGGCUAAAAAGAAUUAGGAAUAAUAUUCACAGUUUCAGAGCCUGAGCGUUAGCUUACACACCUGGCGGCGCCUGUCACAGACACAGCUUUUGUUCCCGUCCCUAUUGGGAUGUGCCACACCAGUACAGUCGAUGAAAGGUCAUAUUUGAUCAUUCUGUCUCGGCCUAUUAAGGCCAAACAAAGGCCCAGGCAGGUGUUUCGAUUUAAUAUGAGCCAGAUCGAGCAAUAAUGCGUGUCUGUCACUGACAGCUAGCUGGGGGACAACUAAACAAGGGUGAAAACCAGGCAUAUUUGUAACAUCCACUUAAUUGAACACAAACAAGCAAAAGCAGCAAAGGUAAAUGGAGUGAAAGCCGCUGAAAUGGCAGGCCAUCUAUUUUGUUGUUUCAGAGUGUGCUCUACUGACCUGCCAAGGUAAAAUUUCAUCAAUAAAGCAAAUACAACACACGUUCAGCCGUAGUUUUUUUCCAUCCGGCCUUAUUGAACCAUUCUCCAAUUUGCCUGGUAACCAUGAAGGAGAGAAAACAUACUUUAACCGCAGCUGCAGCAAUUCUUCACUGGACUUCCUGACUUUCUUCAAGUCGAACAGUGUUCUCUGCCACUGUACGUAAUCAUUUCAAUUCAAGCCUUCAGACUGUUAAAUGAGUUUCUUUUUCAUGCCAGAAAACAAAACAAAACAAAGCUCCCAUAUUCUCCAUUUAGCUUUCUUACUUUAACUAGAACAAAGUGCAUUAAUAACACUCAGCAUUUCCCUCACUGUCACACACUAGUUAUAAAAAGACAAAAAGAAGGAACACAAGUAAAGACAAUAUCAGUUAAUAUGUCCUAAAGAGUGACCAAAAAAGAGAGUUUAUUCCGCAGACUGCUUGGGUGAUUUGCUUCAUGCCAAAGGUUAGCGUUAGCUAUUAGCUACUGACGGCUAAAUAGGCUGCUAUUUAGUUUGUUUAACCAUCUGUGUUAUCAGGCUCCACCUAGCUGAGCUCACAGUCUUAUCAAAAUGAAGACUGAGCAGAUAAAACUAUUGAAAAUUAAAAAGUAAAAUAACUUACAUUCAGAAAUUAAUCAUUUCAGCAGCUUUUUGUUUUUGUUUUGUUGGCAGCUUUUUGUUUUUUCCGAGCUGAACAGGAGCAACAAACACAAAAAAGCACUUUUAUUUCUUUUCAAACUCGAGUUGAAUCACUUCUGUCAUUUCUGCAAUAUGUUAAGGUUUGCCAGAUCAUUUUAUCAAGUGCUUUUUAGUGGUUUUACUUUUUUACUUUAUAACCUCUUGCACAAUAUAUUUGACUAUAACUAAUUUAGGGAUUUUCUGGUUUCCUAAUUUUGCCUUAAAGAUGACAAAUAUAUUAGCACCUGGCACUAUUAUUUAUAAAGCUAUUACAGGUGUCUCGGUCUCCCUGAAUAGCAUUAGUCCCAUGGAAGUCUUUGCAUGAUUACUGCUACAGCUGAAUCAAUGGUUUAAUCAAGGUAAAUCAGAUAAUAAACACAUCUGCUGCUCACAAAGCAGCCAAAUUAAACCUGUGAGUGCAAGUGUAACCUGAACAAACACAAAAACAGCACAUUCUACUGUUCCUCUUUCACAAAGGGUUUUGUUUUCUUUUUUUAAUCUGGUUAAUGGCUCUGAUUUUUCACCUUUAAAAUUUUAAAACAACACCACCACUCACAGGUGGCCUCUUGGCUUGAUGAGGGUCAGGGCCUUAGGGGUUCUCCACGGUGCCAUCUCAUUAGAUUUCAUUCAUGUAAUAGCCAGUUGCCAUUCAAUGAUUAGGGGUAAUGGUCUGAGCUUGAACUCUGAAUGAAGAUCAUAGACUCUCGUCUGCUCGCUGCCACCGAGCGGCUCAAAGCAGCUCACUGGUGGCCAGAUAUAGGGCUCGCCUUUAGAGAUUUCAGUUCCUUUCUCCCUGUCAGUUUGUACAGUGAUUUGCAAUGACGGAUGGGGCGAUGCCUGAAAGCGCAGAGCAUCACAAUCAACUCAUCAAGACUUUAGUAUUGGAGUGCUGGCUGUCAGCUCCAGCAGAUAAAUGGCAGCUCUGGUUUCUAAAUCUGACAGCCAAAACCGAGAAUCGGAUGUCUUUGUCCACAAAAGGCUUCCUAAAAUGUGUCCCUUUUAUCCCCUCAGCGAGCUGACUGUACAUCUUUCAGAUUACACAUUAUGAACUGAAGUAGGAGUAUUUUGUCUAUGAAUAACAAUCCAAUUGCAGCCUAAAUAAUUCAUUACCACAAAGGCUUCUAACCACCUCGAGAAAUUACGAGCAGGAGUAAAAACAUUGUGUCCCAGGUAAUAAUGUAAUCAUUUGUGUAAAGCACUGCAGUUAUUGAAAAUAAUAUUUUAUGUCACUGUACACACACACACUUGAUGGAGAAGGCCAAAUUGUUCUUGUCAUCAUCGGGGCUGAGAGAAAAUUAAAGUCUGGCUCCCAGAGAACGUGCAGACAUGACGUGACUGGCAGGUUGAAGUGGAUACUUCACACACGGACAAUUUAUGACAGAAAUAACCUGCCAGACGUUUCAAUCAUCUCGAUUUCCUUCAUGUUUUUCUUUUUUUUAUAGUGUGGGGGCUCGCAGAGCAUCUGUUGACAAUAACAGCUACCCAAGUGUAAUUACUAUCAGAAGAUAGCUGUCGUGACAUUGCGUGUCGACGUGAACAGACAAGGCAAUAACUCGUCACUUGUCAUGUCUUUAAAAUGUCGGUGGGGAGGACAAGAGAGCGGAGAAAGGUGGGGAACGCUGCCGAAGGAUAAACUAUUUUCUAUACUCAUGUCCACGUCCAGGUGGUGGCAGGUGAGUUGUUCAAUUGGAGAACAGGUUGACAUCACGACAAGCACGCUGUCAAACACUGCUUGGGUAAACAUGUCAGAUUUGGAAUGGUGGUGGUCUGUAUGUAAUCGCUUUUACUCAAGUGUUCACUGCAGUGGAACUUUGUAACCCUCCAGGUACAUACCAACUACACAGUCAUCUACAUGACAAACUGCAGCCUCGUUAAAAUCAGGCUCAAGGAUUUAAAAGAAGCCUUUGUCACCUUGUCUAACAGCACUCAUAUCCUUCUUAACCGAUUCAUAAUCCAAGGGGUUGGUACGACUAUUUUCUUUUUAUUUCCUAAUCAGACAAUUUGACAUUUACGCCCACUUUCCGCAGCAGUUGCCAGAUGUGCGGAGGCGUGACAGUAGGCAGCGUUCUGAACUAGGUCUUAUUUCCCUUUUUCCUUUUUUAAAAUUCCUGAUAUGACUACCUCCAUCUAAUUUCAAAUCGCAGAAGAGUUAAAAUGUGCACUUGUGCAUUUUGCCACAUCUCUGUGACAGGAGGCUGUUCACUCAAUCUAAAAAAAUCUGCUAUCAAAUAUAGUAUAGAAGACACCCACACGUUAGCAGCUAGCACAUUCAAAGAAUUAAAAAUGAGAUCUUUACAAGCUGGCUAUAGCUGGUAUACACAGUAGAGGACACACGUACACGUUAUUGGGCCAAAGAAGAAGACAAUACACCUUUCAAUUUCAAACCAUAAUGCCUUGGUAAAAUGAGCACUCUCCUGCAAAUGGACUCUGUCCUAGAACAAAUGCCAUCUCUUCUAGCUGCAUAGAAACCUGGCUGUGACUGAACUGAACGCUCUGCUGUCAGGACAAAACUGCCCGCAAGAAAAACUUUCCAGAUACGAAAGCAGUGAAGGCAGAACAAAAUAAAAGGAGCAGAACUAUCUCCCAAAUCACCUCAGGGGUUAAGAUGCAAAAAAUAAAAAAAAUUGAGCUUUGACAGCGAAGAUGAAGUCCGGUCAGGAGCUGUAGCCAGU